rnacentral:rRNA from 1 species
GCCAACAACCCCAAUUUUUUCUAUGGUUGACCUCGGAUCAGGUAGGAAUACCCG